CGCACGUAGCAGUUCGAAGCUGUCGCGGGGUUUUAUCGAGCAAAACUUUGCCUGCGAUAAAAUUGCAAGAGUGCGCGGGUGCAAAAAGUAAAAUCAAAAUCCGAGUGCGGUGCGAGAAAUUUCGCUGCUGGAAGUGAGCAGCCAGCUUCCCAGAUCAAGGUUAUUUCCGCGGACGGCAAGACGCUAGUCGCAGCUAUUGUAAGCGUCGCCAUUUUGAAAGCGCGAGAGUAGGAUCGACACGUGAGCUUCGACAAAUACGGACGACUAGUGGUCAGAUUGCGCUAAACUAAUUUGCAAGCGACACGUUUCACGGUCGCACGGAACACCAGUGCGAGUGCAUCUCAUUCCGGCAUCGCCAGCCAAGAAGCCAAUCGAUAAGAAGAAGACAGCAAAAGUCUUCCAUUGGAAGGCUUUUGUUUUCCAUUUUGCAGUUUCGUCGUCCAGCACAGCAAGCGUCGUCGGUCCGAACAGGACGAUCGAAUCCCAUCGCCACGCGUCCGGAAGAUAGGCCAGCUGGGUCGAAAGGUCAGCAACGUUGGUGCAUCAUACAGGUCGCUGAAAGCGCGGCCACAGUGGAACGAGCCAACAUCCUCGGUGGUAACCGAGAUACGACGUAAGAGCGUCGAUAAGAGCAGGUCAGUCAAGCCGGUGUGAGCAUCGACGAAGCCAGGAUGGUGAGUCAGCAGGACGUCAGUGGGGUAGCGAUGAAAGGCAGGGCGCGCCCUGCAGUGCAGUGAGUAGAGCAACGCAACUUUAGUUAUUAAGCUAUCAAGAGAAAUCUUAAGGGCAUUGAAGAUGGGAGGACCAGUCAGGAGUAGGAGAAUGAUGGCCAGUUAAUAAAUUUGUUAACUAUGAUCAGUUUGUGUUGGGAUUUAUUUGUUGUGUGCGCAUUCCCUUAAGAGCUUUCCGGGGCUCAUCGAGGCUGUGUUAUUCCCCUCGAUAGUCUUUCACAACAG